rnacentral:rRNA from 1 species
CGAUGUCUAGGGGAUCUGAGAGGAUGACCCCCCACACUGGUACUGAGACACGGACCAGACUCCUACGGGAGGCAGCAGUAAGGAAUAUUGGUCAAUGGAGGCAACUCUGAACCAGCCAUGCCGCGUGCAGGAAGACAGCCCUCUGGGUCGUAAACUGCUUUUAUCUGGGAAUAAACCUUUGCUCGUGAGCAGAGCUGAAUGUACCAGAGGAAUAAGGAUCGGCUAACUCCGUGCCAGCAGCCGCGGUAAUACGGAGGAUCCAAGCGUUAUCCGGAUUUAUUGGGUUUAAAGGGUGCGUAGGCGGCCUGUUAAGCCAGGGGUGAAAGACGGUAGCUCAACUAUCGCAGUGCCCUUGAUACUGACGGGCUUGAAUGAACUAGAGGUAGGCGGAAUGUGACAAGUAGCGGUGAAAUGCAUAGAUAUGUCACAGAACACCGAUUGCGAAGGCAGCUUACUAUGGUUUUAUUGACGCUGAGGCACGAAAGCGUGGGGAUCAAACAGGAUUAGAUACCCUGGUAGUCCACGCCCUAAACGAUGAAUACUCGCUGUUAGCGAUAUACAGUUAGCGGCUAAGCGAAAGCGUUAAGUAUUCCACCUGGGGGGUACGCCCGCAAGGGUGAAACUCAAAGGAAUUGACGGGGGCCCGCACAAGCGGAGGAGCAUGUGGUUUAAUUCGAUGAUACGCGAGGAACCUUACCCGGGCUUGAAAGUUAGUGAAGUAUCCAGAGAUGGGUACGUCCGCAAGGACACGAAACUAGGUGCUGCAUGGCUGUCGUCAGCUCGUGCCGUGAGGUGUUGGGUUAAGUCCCGCAACGAGCGCAACCCCUAUGUUUAGUUGCCAGCACGUAAUGGUGGGGACUCUAAACAGACUGCCUGUGCAAACAGAGAGGAAGGAGGGGACGACGUCAAGUCAUCAUGGCCCUUACGUCCGGGGCUACACACGUGCUACAAUGGACGGUACAGAGGGCAGCUAGCCAGCAAUGGUAUGCCAAUCUCAGAAAGCCGUUCACAGUUCGGAUAGAGGUCUGCAACUCGACCUCUUGAAGUUGGAUUCGCUAGUAAUCGCAGAUCAGCAAUGCUGCGGUGAAUACGUUCCCGGGCCUUGUACACACCGCCCGUCAAGCCAUGGAAGUUGGGGGUACCUAAAGUACGUAACCGCAAGGAGCGUCCUAGGGUAAAACCGAUAACUGGGGCUAAGUCGUAACAAGGUA